rnacentral:rRNA from 1 species
GACGGGGGAUGCGAGCGUUAUCCGGAAUGAUUGGGCGUAAAGGGUCCGCAGGUGGCCCGGUCAGUCCGCUGUCAAAGCCUGGGGCUCAACCCUGGACAGGCGGUGGAAACUACCAAGCUGGAGUACGGUAGGGGCAGAGGGAAUUUCCGGUGGAGCGGUGAAAUGCGUAGAGAUCGGAAAGAACACCAACGGCGAAAGCAACUCUGCUGGGCCGACACUGACACUGAGAGACGAAAGCUAGGGGAGCGAAUGGG